GAGGAUGUGGUCAAGUGGACCAAGGUAGUGGAUUGUGAAUCCACCAUGCGCGGGUUCAAUUCCCAUCAUUCGCC
rnacentral:tRNA from 1 species